rnacentral:rRNA from 1 species
UACGUAGGGGGCUAGCGUUGUCCGGAAUCAUUGGGCGUAAAGCGCGUGUAGGCGGUCCGGUAAGUCCGCUGUGAAAGUCGGGGGCUCAACCCUCGGAUGCCGGUGGAUACUGUCGGGCUUGAGUACGGAAGAGGCGAGUGGAAUUCCUGGUGUAGCGGUGAAAUGCGCAGAUAUUGGGAGGAACACCAGUGGCGAAGGCGGCUCGCUGGACCGGAACUGACGCUGAGGCGCGAAAGCGUGGGGAGCAAACAGG